GCGAGUAUGAUGAAAUUGGUAAACAUGCUAGAUUUAGGAUCUGGUGGAUUCUUCUUUAGUGGUUCAAGUCCACUUACUCGUA
rnacentral:tRNA from 1 species